rnacentral:lncRNA from 1 species
CACCUGUAACUCACGUGACCCUGAUUAUUAUUGAAACGAGAACGAGGGCGUCGUGCCUUUAUAAGACUGCGUUAAUGUUUCCGUGGAGUUAUCCCUUCCGUUGUUGUUUAUUGCUUGUUAAACAUGGCGUCAUUUGCAAAGGUGGUUGUGUGUCUCCUCAUUGCUUGUGUCUGUAAUGCAUUCUGUUUUCCGAAGAGAGAUGUGAACUUUAAGGCCUCUGCAGUUGACCGCCAAAGUGAUGAUGUGGUUGUCACCACAACACCCGUUCCCCACAACCAGACCACAUCUGCCCAUACUUCAGCUGGUGAUGGAGCCAGUGAAGAUGCUGUGGACCGCCAAAGUGAUGAUGUGGUUGUAGCCACAACACCCGAUCACCACAACCAGACACAACAAUCAAUCCAGACACAACAAUCUGCCCAUACUUCAGCUAGUGGUGGUGCAAGUGAAGAUGCUGUGGCUACUACCCCAGCACCUAAUCCACACAACCAGACAACUUCUGCACAAACUGAAGUUACUGAUGGAGCCAGUGAAGAUGCUGUGGACCUCCAAAGUGAUGAUGUGGUUGUAGCCACAACACCCGAUCACCACAACCAGACCACAUCUGCCCAUACUGAAGCUGGUGAUGGAGCAAGUGAAGAUGCUGUGGCUACUACCCCAACACUAAAUCCCCCAACUACAUCUGACCACACUGCAGCUACCGAUGAUGCAAGUGAGGGUGCUGUGGCUGCCCAAACUGGAACUACUGUAUCCCAUACGACUGAAGUCUGAUUCGACUGCUCCUCUGGUCACAAUGACCUGAGUCACUGUCUGGACUUUUUGCCUCUACAUGUUGACUGCAAUAAAGGACAGAUUUGUUUUUUGAAUCA